AUGCAAGUCGACCUGAAGCUGUUUGUGAGUAUGUGAAUAUACAUGGAUAGUACUUAUACCUCCCCGGUAUAGACAGGGAGA
rnacentral:sRNA from 19 species